AUGAAGGACUUAGUUGUCCGGCUAUGGCCCGCUGAGCCAAUUCCAAGAAGUUACUUCGGACUCGUGAAGCGGAUUGUUGGUGCUUGCCCUAGGCUCGAAGUCAUUAAGCGGUCGGUAUGUAUAGAAGGUGCACGCAUGGCAUUUGCCCGUGUGAAGGUGCACUGGGGGAAGCUUGAUGUUGAAAAGCUGAUGACUGAGGGACCACCGGAGGGUAAGGAGCACCACAAGCCCGAAUUAUAUUAUGAUGGUGUCCUGAAAGGAGCCCGCCUUGUGGUGGAACAAUGUACCAAAGACACUAUAUUUACCUGA
rnacentral:rRNA from 1 species